rnacentral:tRNA from 3 species
GCGCUCAUAGCUCAGUUGGAUAGAGCAGUGGACUUCUAAUCCACCGGUCGCAGGUUCGAGUCCUGCUGGGCGCA